CUAACAGAAACUGCUGAGAAAUAAAUGCUGUUGAAAGAUUUGAUGCUGAAAAUGUCAGCAGCAAUCACAUUUUGAUGGCAAUCUGAAGUGAAAAAGAGGUGAAUGUUGCACAACAGUUCUGUUUUGUGACAGACAUAGGAGACAGGUUUUGGGUGAAGGCUGUGACUGUUGGACUCAACAUUUAAGAAAUCCUGGCAUGACUUUGGAAGGAAUAAAAGGAGGCUUCUUUUUGGCACUGACUUUGCUGAAGUAACAGAUUUGGAGAUUUCUAAUUUGCAUAUCAGAAGAUGGGACUUGGAGUCAGAAUGGGAUGAAAAACAUGAAACAUGAGUCAAAAAGCUGCGUGGGAAGAAAUGAAGGACUCAAAUGUCAAAAGUCCUUAGAAAAUCUUUUGGAUUUUAAGUCCCUCAGUGACCUGUCCCCUGAGGACUGUUCAUCACAAAUCAUAAGCUCAGCACAUGAACAGUUUUCAUAUUAG
rnacentral:lncRNA from 1 species